rnacentral:rRNA from 1 species
UACGAAGGGUGCAAGCGUUACUCGGAAUUACUGGGCGUAAAGGGUGCGUAGGUGGUUUUUUAAGUCCGUUGUGAGAUCCCUGGGCUCAACCUGGGAAUGGCAGUGGAUACUGGAAAGCUAGAGUGCGGUAGAGGGUAGUGGAAUUCCAGGUGUAGCGGUGAAAUGCGUAGAUAUCGGAAGGAACGCCGGUGGCGAAAGCGGCGUGCUGGACCUCUUCUGACGCUGAGGCGCGAAAGCCAGGGGAGCGAACGGG